rnacentral:tRNA from 1 species
GGGGCUGUAGCUCAGAUGGUUAGAGUGCCACGUUGACAUCGUGGAGGUCAUGCGUUCGAUUCGCAUCAGCCCCACCA